rnacentral:rRNA from 1 species
AGAGAUGCACUGGGUUUAAAGGGUGCGCAGGCGGUUUUGUAAGACAGAGGUGAAAUCCCCGGGCUCAACCUGGGAACUGCCUUUGUGACUGCAAGGCUGGAGUGCGGCAGAGGGGGAUGGAAUUCCGCGUGUAGCAGUGAAAUGCGUAGAUAUGCGGAGGAACACCGAUGGCGAAGGCAAUCCCCUGGGCCUGCACUGACGCUCAUGCACGAAAGUGUGGGGAGCAAACA